ACUCCUACGGGAGGCAGCAGUGGGAAUAUUGGACAAUGGGAACCGACUGAUCCAGCCAUGCCGCGUGUGUGAAGAAGGCCUUCGGGUUGUAAAGCACUUUCAGUGGGGAGGAAAGGAUUGAUGGUUAAUACCUAUCAGCUGUGACGUUACCCACAGAAGAAGCACCGGCUAACUCCGUGCCAGCAGCCGCGGUAAUACGGAGGGUGCAAGCGUUAAUCGGAAUUACUGGGCGUAAAGCGUGCGCAGGCGGUCUGUUAAGCGAGAUGUGAAAG
rnacentral:rRNA from 1 species